GACGAACGCUGGCGGCGUGCCUAACACAUGCAAGUCGAGCGGAGAUUGUAGCAAUACAAUCUUAGCGGCGGACGGGUGAGUAACGCGUGGGUAACCUGCCUUAUACAGGGGGAUAACACUGGGAAACUAGUGCUAAUACCGCAUAAAAUUGUUGUCAUGGCAUCAUGAUACAAUCAAAGGAGAAAUCCAGUAUGAGAUGGACCCGCGUCCGAUUAGCUAGUUGGGGGGGUAAAGGCUUACCAAGGCGACGAUCGGUAGCCGAACUGAGAGGUUGAACGGACACAUUGGGACUGAGACACGGCCCAGACUCCUACGGGAGGCAGCAGUGGGGAAUAUUGCGCAAUUGGGGAAACCCUGACGCAGCAACGCCGCGUGAAGGAAGAAGGCUUUCGGGUUGUAAACUUCUUUGAUUGGGGACGAAAAAAAUGACGGUACCCAAGGAACAAGCCACGGCUAACUACGUGCCAGCCGCCGCAGUAAGAC
rnacentral:rRNA from 1 species